rnacentral:rRNA from 1 species
GACAGAGGUGCCGAGCGUUAGGCGGAAUCACUGGGCUUAAAGCGUGUGUAGGCGGAUUCCUAAGUACCUUGUGAAAUCCCAUGGCUCAACCAUGGAACUGCUUGGUAUACUGGGUGUCUUGAGCCAACUAGGGGCUACCGGAACAAAUGGUGGAGCGGUGAAAUGCGUAGAUAUCAUUUGGAACGCCAAUGGUGAAAACAGGUAGCUGGGGUUGUGCUGACGCUGAGACACGAAAGCCAGGGGAGCAAACGGG